UACGAGCAGCCCUAGUGGCGUUCACGUAUAUUGGGCCUGAAGCGUGCGUAGUCGGCCGGACAUGUCUCUGGUGAAAGCUUGCGGCUUAACCGUGGGAAUGGCCAGGGAAACUGUUUGGCUUGGGGCCGGGAAGGGUCGGAGGUAUUCUGUGGGUAGGGGUAAAAUCCUAUAAUCCUCAGAGGACCUACGGUGGCGAAGGCGUCCGACUGGAACGGGCCCGACGAUGAGGCACGAAAGCUAGGGGAGCGACCCGGAUUAGAUACCCGGUUAGUCCUAGCUGUAAAUGAUGUCGGUUUGGUAUUGCAUGGCCUACGAGGCCCUGCAGUGCCGUAGGGAAGCCGUUAAACCGACCGCCUGGGGAGUACGGCCGCAAGGCUGAAACUUAAAGGAAUUGGCGGGGGAGUACUACAAGGGGUGGAGGCUGCGGUUUAAUUGGAUACAACGCCGGACAACUCACCAAGGAAGACAGCACUAUGAUGGUCAGCCUAAAGGGCUUACUUGAGGCGCUGAGAGGUGGUGCAUGGCCAUCGCCAGCUCGUGCAGCGAUGUGUCCUGUUAAGUCAGGCAACGAGCGAGACCCGUGCUUCCAGUUGCUAACGCCCAUUUUCGGAUGGGUGUGCACUCUGGAGGGACUGUCGGUGAUAAAUCGGAGGAAGGAGCGGGCGACGAUAGGUCAGUAUGCCCCGAAUUUCUUGGGCUACACGCGGCCUACAAUGCAACGGACAAUAGGAUGCAACCCCGAAAGGGGAAGCUAAACCCGUAAACCGUUGCGUAGUUCGGAUUGAGGGUUGGGACUCACCCUCAUGAAGAUGGAAUCCCUAGUAAUCGUGUGUCAUUAUCGCACGGUGAAUGCGUCCCUUCUCCU
rnacentral:rRNA from 1 species